AGCUGUCUGGACACAAUCCUGUGCCGUGUGUGCUGGGACCAGGAAAUACGAAAUCAACCCAAGCUAAUAAACCCUAAUAAAGCCUACUGGGAUCCAGCUGACUCUUCAUAAGCACUUUGAAUUUACAAAAUGCCUCUGUUUGUUCUUCAUCCACUGGCAAAAUGCAUCAAUCAAUUACCUCCCAAACCAGCAUUUGCUGAAGGUGGAUGUCUGACCCAGCAUGUGGAUGGUGUUUUCAGCCAUUCAGGAAGGUUUCACUUUCAUUACAAUUGGUUGGACACCAGCAAGUGGUUUGGUGAUCAUGGAAGUUUAUGCAAACCAUAACCUUUCCAAGCCUAAGAAGUGCAGCACUGUGUGAAAAAUCUUGUAACAAAACCUGGAUGCACCACCAGAGAAAACUGAACUGCCUGAACAUAAAGCACGGAAAACUGGGAAUGUUUUAGUGCAUACAAGCAAGUCUACAAUCAAAAUACUACCCCAAUGGGUAGUUUUAUACCACCAGUCUGUGCUUCAGAAUUCUGUCUUAAAUAGAAAACCAGUGAAGUCCAAUUCAUUAGCAACAACUGCCAUAGGAGGUCAAUGAUGACUCAAGACGUGGAAGACCAUGGAGGCUGGACCUCAGUGAAACAAAUCUCUGCAGAGAAAAGGAUAUUCUUUUGCACUGCCCUCAACUAUGGCUUGUAGCUCUGUGAAAAAUAGACAACAUCUUAUUCUUCUGGAAGCUUCUAAAGACAUUUUAGUGACAGUGCCUCUAGAAUAAAAACUUUACUGUUUCCACUUAUCCCAUAUUGUUUUAUGUAAAUCAGAAUGGGGAGAAGAGCUGUGGCAUUCUCUAGGUGACAAUGAAAGAAAGCAUCACUCUGAAACUGCCACACUGAUCCCAUUUGAAAACACAAAGUGAAACACUACACUGUGUGCAGACAGAACUGUUGAGAUGAAUUGAUAUGGGAAAAAAUGACUUAACUGGAAUCUGACCUGAGUUACAGCUACAAAGGAAGGACUUCAUGGAUGCUGAGAUGAGAAGUCAGGAUGGAUGCCCAGAGCAGUGGCUGGUUCUGGCAGCUUUUUUGAAGGCACAGGUGUAUUGACUGUGGGAAGAUAAAUGCCCCUGGUGGUCGGUCCCCCUGAACUGCUCUGCCCUGAAUGAGCCUGAGGAGCAUCACAAUGGAGGUGACAUGGACAUACGUAGAUAUGCUCUUGUGCAGAGGCUUUUGGAAAAGCCAGAUAUGGAUUUUUUCCCCCCUUUGUUUCUCUCAAGAGUACUGUAAAGUCCUGGUAUUUCCUUUUAGUGAAACCUGCCUAGUCAUGCAGUGCCCUGCAGAUAUCUGAGAGGAGAGUCUAAAAUGGCUAAAGAGAAUGGA